rnacentral:rRNA from 1 species
AGCGAACGCUGGCGGCAGGCUUAACACAUGCAAGUCGAGCGGGCAUCUUCGGAUGUCAGCGGCAGACGGGUGAGUAACACGUGGGAACGUACCCUUCGGUUCGGAACAACUCUGGGAAACUGGAGCUAAUACCGGAUACGCCCUCAUGGGGGAAGGUUUACUGCCGAAGGAUCGGCCCGCGUCUGUUUAGCUAGUUGGUGGGGUAACGGCCUACCAAGGCGACGAUCAGUAGCUGGUCUGAGAGGAUGAUCAGCCACACUGGGACUGAGACACGGACCAGACUCCUACGGGAGGCAGCAGUGGGGAAUAUUGGACAAUGGGCGCAAGCCUGAUCCAGCCAUGCCGCGUGAGUGAUGAAGGCCUUAGGGUUGUAAAGCUCCUUUGUCCGGGACGAUAAUGACGGUACCGGAAGAAUAAGCCCCGGCUAACUUCGUG